ensembl:lncRNA
AUGGAGAGAGAAAGGAACACUGGGGUGUGGCUUGCUGUAAUCUGCAACGUCCUUGGAGGGAGGGCUUUGGUGGCUCCUCAGCAUUUGGGGUUAAAGCAGUUUUCUGGAGGCUGCCUGUGUGAGCGGACACCCCUGCCAUAUACACACAUACACAUUUUCACUUUUAUUAUGUGUAUAGAUAGAUUUAUUAUUAUUAAGAUACAGAUGUUACAGAAAUGCAUGUUAAAAUAUUCUUUUUAUAUAGAUCCAGGCAGUUUUUUGCCCAGAUCUGAUGCUCUUCUGAUCGAGUGCCCCUUUCUGUCUCCGUUCCUCUACUUUGCCCUAAUGUUGUCUCUCAGGUCUUUUGGCACCUAGCCUCGGACAGCUAGUGGCCUUUGAAACAACUAUGAGGGGCCCGUCUCUCACUAUAGUAACCAUGUAAGCAUGUAUGAGAGAGGAAGUAGAAGGAAGCAAACGAAGGCAGCAUAUCACAUUUGUCCAUUAGUCCAUUUGCGAAUUAGCUGGAUUAGCUUCUCUCUCUUGCCAUAGGGACAAUGGCUGUGAGCAUCCAUGGCCAUGUGGGAGAGAGGCGGCAAGCAAAGCCAAGUCACAGGGACUGCUUUUCUCUGUUGUAGCAACUAUAGCCUCACCUCCUCUUCUAUUUGUGUUGCCUUCGCCAUUUAAAAAACAAGGCUUUCAAUGCAUUCUGCUUUUUUUUCUGUUCCUGCCCGCAAUCCCUCCUGAGCCCAUUUCUUUUCAUUGCUACAUUGCAAAGCUUUGGAAUGAAAUUGUACUUAAUGAACAUUGUGAGUUACCUUUGGGGACUAUGGUUACAAACUGGGAAACUAGUUGAAAAAGAAAAUGAUUAAUAAAAACAAAACAUCCCUCCAGACCAUGGUUUAUGUUGGUGAACCUUAUCCGAGCAAUCUGCCAUGAGAGAAAUUAUAUUGUGAUGAUUAGCAGUGCUCCAUGUUUGGAGCACAAUCCUUGCCUCUUUUGCACAAAUUAGGCUCUUAAGGCUGGCACCGUUUGUCAGAUCAUUACAGCCAGUAAUGGCUAGCUCUAUUAUUUGUUUCUUAGACAUUUAUUCAUUCUUGCAUUCCUCCCUGUGUUAAAGCUAUCCAUGUAUCCUAUUACAUUUUAUUGAUUUAUGUUCUUAGCACAGAUUUCCAGUACAUUACAAGCCAAAUGAAGGUUUGGGUUGUUCUCCAUGAUGUCUUAUGCAAUUUCAAAUUUUACAACCUCAAUAAUGGGGGAGCAUUUGAGUUCAUCUUGGCAUUUAAGGAAGAUGCUGCACUUGAUGACUCUUCUUCGUUUCAGUUUGAGCCGUCUUUUCUCCAACGAGUAUUUUUUACUCAGUUGUGUAACUUUCUGCUUUGUAUUAGUUGUUCUCAUCUGUUAGAUGAUGCAUUUUAACAGGGAAAUGUAAAAAGCAUGCGGAGUACCAAAACAACAAUAAAUAAGAUAGAUAGAUAGAUAGAUAGAUAGAUAGAUAGAUAGAUAGAUAGAUAGAUAGAUAGGCUGUGGCGCAGGCUGGUUAGCAGCCAGCUGCAACAAAUCACUCUGACCAAGAGGUCAUGAGUUCGAGGCCAACCCGUGCCUGCGUCUGUCUGUUUCUGUUCUAUGUUAUGGCAUUGAAUGUUUGCCUUAUAUGUGUGCAAUGUGAUCCGCCCUGAGUCCCCUUCGGGGUGAGAAGGGCGGAAUAUAAAUACUGUAAAUAAAUAGAUAGAUAGAUAGAUAGAUAGAUAGAUAGAUAGAUAGACAGACAGACAGAUGCCAAUGGGAUUUUAGCCUGCAUAAAUAGGAGUCUAGAGUCUAGAUCCAGGGAAGUCAUGCUAGCCCUCUAUUUUGCCUUGAUCAGACCACACCUGGAAUAUUGUGUCCAAUUCUGGGUACCGCAGUUGAAGGGAGAUGUUGACAAGUUGGAAUGUGUCCAGAGGACGGUGACUAAAAUGAUCAAGGGUCUGGAGAACAAGCCCUAUGAGGAGCGGCUUAAAGGGCAUGUUUAGCCUGUAGAAGAGAAAGCUGAGAGGAGACAUGAUAAGGGCCAUGUCUAAAUAUGUGAGGAGAAGUCAUAGGGAGAAGGGAGCAAGCUUGUUUUCUGACAUGGAACAAUGGUUUCAAACUUCAGGAAAGGAGAUUCCACCAGAACGUUAGGAAGAACUUCCUCACUGUGAGAGCUGUUCAGCAGGGGGACUCUGCCCCAGAGAUUUCCUACUUUGGAGGCUUUUAAGUAGAGGCUGGAUGGCCAUCUGUCAGGGAUGCUUUGAAUGCGAUUUUCCUGCUUCUUGACAAAGAGUUGGACUGGAUAGCCCACAAGGUCUCUCCCAGUUCUAUGAUUCUAUUACCUUAGAAGGAGAAAAAUGGGCUUAUUCCAAGUGCGGAAUUGAGAAAGGACAUGGGGAUUCUUCAGGAAUAUAGAAGGAUUACUUUUACAGAAAAGGUGUGUGUGUGUUUGUAUGCAAGUGGAAUAGAAGGGGGGAAAGAGAAUACACACAUAUCCUUUAGAUCUGUGGUUCUCAACCUGUGGGUCCCCAGAUAUUUUUGGCCUUCAACUCCCAGAAAUCCUAACAGCUGGUAAACUGGUUGGGUUUUCUGGUAGUUGUAGGCCAAAAACAUCUGGGGACCCCAGG